AGCAGUAGCCGCGGGAAUACGGAGGAUCCAAGCGUUAUCCGGAAUCAUUGGGUUUAAAGGGUCCGUAGGCGGUCUUGUAAGUCAGUGGUGAAAGCCCAUCGCUCAACGGUGGAACGGCCAUUGAUACUGCAGGACUUGAAUUAUUGGGAAGUAACUAGAAUAUGUAGUGUAGCGGUGAAAUGCUUAGAGAUUACAUGGAAUACCAAUUGCGAAGGCAGGUUACUACCAAUUGAUUGACGCUGAUGGACGAAAGCGUGGGUAGCGAACAGGAUUAGAUACCCGAGUAGUCCCUGUCUCUUAUAC
rnacentral:rRNA from 1 species